rnacentral:sRNA from 2 species
AUUUCAUGAGAAAGAAAAAUUCAACGUCCAUCGCCAUUUAUUAGCCAAAUACAGAGUGCUCCCUGUCUCCGGCUUGCAUCCUCUUCACCCGGGAAACCGAAACCCGAGCUCCGCAACCAAACGAUCCGUGCACGACAACAAACAAACCUUACCAUGAUGAAUAAAAUUUAACUCCCGCUUUCGUUAUAAAGUUACAUGACCCGACAUCUCCCUCCCGCGACCUUACCAACAGCCAAGGGACGAGCGAGCGGACUGCGCUGGUGUUUUUCUCUGUGCUCUCCCUGAGUGUGCAAUAUCUCCAGUUCGCGAAAACAAGUUCCUGUCGUGCCGCAUCCAGUUAACAUACUAACUACUUAUUCUUCUCCUAAAAGAGGCUUUCUGUACCCUGAAGGAUCAGGUAUAUAUUCCCAGGUUUUCGUGCUUAUCGAGCAGUUUAUCUUAUACGCGGUAUUACUUGAUUGAGAACCCAGAUCGCGGCGGCAGUGGACGGAAGGUUACUGCUUGUGCCCGCAAAGGGAAUUCUUUAUUGAUUUCUCUUUUGCGUUGAAUAUCAUAACUGGUGCGGCAAGUCUCUACAUAUCCGUGACUACGGAGCUUUAGCCGCCUGCAGCGGACAAGGAAGCUCGGAAACGCACAACUCUGACCCGGGUUUCUUUGGUCAACCCCGGAGACUUUUUCUUUAAACAAAUACACCGCGCAAACACGCUGUCAAGCAAGCGGCGGGAUCGCACAAAGCAGCUCCCCCUUUUUAUAAGGGCCAAGAAUAAAAAAGGUUUAUAAAAUAUAUGUUGUAAAACAACGAAAAAGAGGAGGGAGGGAAAAUUAAAAAAACAAUGUCCUUCAAACUCCCCAGCAAUGUCCCUUCCUUCUCCUCCUCCCAGCGCGAGUAUGAGGACGGCUACUGGCGCGCCACAAGAACCAACGUCGACAACCACGGUUUCUCCUUCGCCAGCUUCAUGAACCCGAACAUCAACAGCAAUCUGCCCAUGUACAAAGACAAACCACAUUACGCCUCACGGCAGGUCCGGAGACGGCGAAAAAUUACCUGGGUAUUGGCUGGGUUGGUGUUCUUGGGUAUUGUGUGGGUGCUUGUGCAUAUGACAGCACCGGGGCAGGUGGUGCGAAUGAAAACUACUAAGCAUGGGGGCAAUUUGUGGA